rnacentral:lncRNA from 1 species
AUGCACGCCCUUCUAAGAAGAGACAGGAGAGUGUUUGCUUCAGCAGCACAUGGUAAAAUUAGGGCGCUACAGAGAAGAUUAGAAUGUCCUCUGUGUAAGGAUGACAUGCAAGUUCAUGAAAUGUUCCAUAUAGAAGGGGGGGAGGAGAAGGAGAAGGAGGAGGAGGGGGAGGAGAAAGAGGGGGAGGAGGGGGAGGAGGGAGGAGGGGCGAGUUUACCUCCUUCUGCAUCUCCUCAGUGUGGGGCUGAGCCUCUAAGCAGGAUGAGCCCCAUCCCUGGGGGCCAGUGCCCCAUCUCGCAGGCCCCCUCCCGACUGUGGGAAGUGGCUCCCGGUGUGUGUGCCCGUCUGGGGCCCAGCGUGGGCAGCAGGCAGAGGGGCUGCAGGUGGAGUCGGCCUUGUGGGGAGCAGGCCUCCCAAGCGCCGGGCACACAGCAGGUGCGUCAGGAAUAUGGGUUGAGGGAGCACAUAGAGACACGGGAGAAUCGGCGACACUGCACCCAAGUCCCUCGGCGGCAGGUGCAGCAGGUCUGGCAGAUGUGGGAUGUGGGGCCAGGGCCCCGGGGGAAGGGCUCCCCGCCAUGUGUCCUGCUCUCAGUCCAUCAGGGCCCCCUCCUGGGUGCAGCACCCACGUCCAGGAUGACCCAGGGGUCCGUGAGGCUACCCUGGGCUUGCCCCUGGUGGGCCUUCUGUGCUCUGCCCCCUGCUUCCCUUCGCCUUCCUCCCCCGCUCAGUUCACACCCUGCGUCCUACCACUACCACCACCACCACCACCACUACCACCAAUAUGGUCCUACCACCACCACCAAUACUGUCUCAUCACCACCACCGUCAGCACCACCACCAAUAUGGUCCCACCACUACCACCACCAUCACCACCACCAUCACCACCACCACCAUCACCACCACCACCACUACCACUAUGACCCCACCACUACCACCACCACCACCACCGAGUCGGUUUCCCUGCAGCCACGGAUGCGCAGAGGGACAGCGGGUGGAGCUUGGGGAGCCGCCGCGCACAGGCCUGUGGGCCGCCCUGAGGCCCGCACCCGGUCCCAGCAGACCAAAUUCUCAAAUCAUGAUGCCAUGAAGUUAGAAGCUAACAACAGAGGAAUACAAAGAAUGCUGAUUAAAGGGUCCCCUGCACGUCCAAUCAGAUCUGUGAGUGCAUCUGAGAUACCACGUAUUUUAAAAGGCUCCAAAUGAUCCUUGGGGUACUCGUCUGGCUCAAUCUGUAGGGCGUCAGGCUCUUGAUCUCAGGGUCCUGAGUUCAAGCCCCACGUGGGGUGUGGAGAUUACUUAAAAAUAAAAUCUUUAAGAGCAUGGUGGGUGAUUCUGUU